UUCGUCCACAGAGAUCACAUGACCACCUCAAUGAGGAUGGAGUAGGACCAGAGUCACGUGACUGAGAGGAUACUAAACCUCACCCUGGAGAUCAUCUACCUGCUGACCGGGGAGAGUUUUCCUCUUCUGAAGUCUGGUGAUCAUGUGACCAUCACAGUGCCUCCAUGUGACUCCCUAAAAACCAAGAGACCCAACAUGGAGAAGGUUCUAGAAGUCACCAAGAAGAUGAUGGAGCUGCUGACGGGAGAGGUUCCUAUAAGGUGUCAGGAUGUCUCUGUCUAUCUC